rnacentral:rRNA from 1 species
CAGUAGCCGCGGUAAUGCGUAGGGUGCAAGCGUUAAUCGGAAUUACUGGGCGUAAAGCGUGCGCAGGCGGUCCGCUAAGACAGAUGUGAAAUCCCCGGGCUCAACCUGGGAACUGCAUUUGUGACUGGCAAGCUAGAGUAUGGCAGAGGGGGGUGGAAUUCCGCGUGUAGCAGUGAAAUGCGUAGAUAUGCGGAGGAACACCGAUGGCGAAGGCAGCCCCCUGGGCCAAUACUGACGCUCAUGCACGAAAGCGUGGGGAGCAAACAGGAUUAGAUACCCCAGUAGUCCCUGUCUCUUAUAC